AACCCAGUAGGUGACAGGCAACACACCCAAAAGGAUUCUUGUUUUUGAUGACAGAGGAUUAUUUUUUGGACAAUCUUUCUUCUACAUCCCUCAUCUGCCUGAGUAACCCUUGGUUACAGAGAUCUGAGAUAAAAAUAUUUCCAGCUGACAUUCGGACCUGUGUCAGUUUGUGAUUAACAUGCCCAGGAUACACGGUGUCUUGGCUGUAUGGGUUCAGAACAGGCUUACUCAUAGAAGACAGGGAGCUGUGUUGGAAGGAAGAUAUUCUGGCUGGAGAUUGUGACCAGUGAAGUUCUGCAGGGAUCUGCUCUGGAACCUCUGCUGUUUGUGAUAUAUAUAUAUAAUCAAUGACGUGGACAUAAAUGUAGAUUCAGAUUCAGAUUCACAUUCAUGGGUUGGCGAGUAAGUUUUCUGACAACAUCAAAGCUGGAGGAGCUGCAGACAGUGAGAAAGUCUGUCAGAAGAUACAGCCGGAUAUCGAUGCACUGCAAAAAAUGGGCAGAGAAAUAGCAAAUGGAGUUUAACCCAAGUGGAAAUGACAACAACUAGAGGACAUUGCUUUAAGGAGAGCUUCCAUUAAACCUGGGGCACAGGGAAACUGCAAUACAAAAAUGAAUGAAGUGAAGGAGUACAUGCUGAAAGAUGCAUAAUUCAAUCCCAUCUCAGGAUUAUACAGUAUUUGGAAAAUUAUCGAAUUACAAUGUAUGGACCCUGAAAUUAAAUUGUCAAUAGAAAAAUAAAGUUAAUGUGACUUGUUUGCUGAUCUUUCAUCUGAACCUCAUGGCAUCCUUUGGAAUGGAUGUGCUCUGAAAAGUGGAUACCCAAUCUUAGUUGGACUUUUUACUGUAGAGAAGACGACAUUGCAAUAUAACGCCAAAGAAAUUCCGUGCCUGUGUACCAUUCCGUUGUGUGGCACUUUUCAUGUUCAACCACUGAAAAUGCAACACCUGUCUUUCACCUUUGGUCUGUGUCUGGCCCUGUAAGAAUUUUAAAGUUUUCUGCGAGAUCCACUCCCUUCAGUACUUUAUAUUCACUGUACCAUACUGGACAGUGCAAUAUUCACUUUACUUCAGUGAAUACUGACCUAAUCAACCAAAUCUCCCAUCAGUACUGUCACCUCAGGAACAAGUCGAGUGGAAACAAAACUCCAGAUCACCUAGGCU